UACGAAGGGGGCUAGCGUUGCUCGGAAUCACUGGGCGUAAAGCGCACGUAGGCGGCUUUCUAAGUCAGGGGUGAAAUCCUGGAGCUCAACUCCAGAACUGCCUUUGAUACUGGCGAUCUCGAGUCCGGGAGAGGUGAGUGGAACUGCGAGUGUAGAGGUGAAAUUCGUAGAUAUUCGCAAGAACACCAGUGGCGAAGGCGGCUCACUGGCCCGGUACUGACGCUGAGGUGCGAAAGCGUGGGGAGCAAACAGGG
rnacentral:rRNA from 1 species